rnacentral:rRNA from 1 species
UUAAGCGACUAAGCGUACACGGUGGAUGCCCUGGCAGUCAGAGGCGAUGAAGGACGUGCUAAUCUGCGAAAAGCGUCGGUAAGGUGAUAUGAACCGUUAUAACCGGCGAUGUCCGAAUGGGGAAACCCAGUGCAAUUCGUUGCACUAUCGUUAACUGAAUACAUAGGUUAACGAGGCGAACCGGGGGAACUGAAACAUCUAAGUACCCCGAGGAAAAGAAAUCAACCGAGAUUCCCCCAGUAGCGGCGAGCGAACGGGGAGCAGCCCAGAGUCUGAAUCAGCUUGUGUGUUAGUGGAGCGGUCUGGAAAGUCCGACGGUACAGGGUGAUAGUCCCGUACACCAAAAUGCACAGGUUGUGAACUCGAAGAGUAGGGCGGGACACGUGGUAUCCUGUCUGAAUAUGGGGGGACCAUCCUCCAAGGCUAAAUACUCCUGACUGACCGAUAGUGAACCAGUACCGUGAGGGAAAGGCGAAAAGAACCCCGGCGAGGGGAGUGAAAAAGAACCUGAAACCGUGUACGUACAAGCAGUGGGAGCACCUUCGGGUGUGACUGCGUACCUUUUGUAUAAUGGGUCAGCGACUUAUAUUCUGUAGCAAGGUUAACCGUAUAGGGGAGCCGCAGGGAAACCGAGUCUUAACUGGGCGUUAAGUUGCAGGGUAUAGACCCGAAACCCGGUGAUCUAGCCAUGGGCAGGUUGAAGGUUGGGUAACACUAACUGGAGGACCGAACCGACUAAUGUUGAAAAAUUAGCGGAUGACUUGUGGCUGGGGGUGAAAGGCCAAUCAAACCGGGAGAUAGCUGGUUCUCCCCGAAAGCUAUUUAGGUAGCGCCUCGUGAACUCAUCUUCGGGGGUAGAGCACUGUUUCGGCUAGGGGGUCAUCCCGACUUACCAACCCGAUGCAAACUACGAAUACCGAAGAAUGUUAUCACGGGAGACACACGGCGGGUGCUAACGUCCGUCGUGAAGAGGGAAACAACCCAGACCGCCAGCUAAGGUCCCAAAGUCAUGGUUAAGUGGGAAACGAUGUGGGAAGGCACAGACAGCCAGGAUGUUGGCUUAGAAGCAGCCAUCAUUUAAAGAAAGCGUAAUAGCUCACUGGUCGAGUCGGCCUGCGCGGAAGAUGUAACGGGGCUAAACCAUGCACCGAAGCUGCGGCAGCGACACUAUGUGUUGUUGGGUAGGGGAGCGUUCUGUAAGCCUGCGAAGGUGUGCUGUGAGGCAUGCUGGAGGUAUCAGAAGUGCGAAUGCUGACAUAAGUAACGAUAAAGCGGGUGAAAAGCCCGCUCGCCGGAAGACCAAGGGUUCCUGUCCAACGUUAAUCGGGGCAGGGUGAGUCGACCCCUAAGGCGAGGCCGAAAGGCGUAGUCGAUGGGAAACAGGUUAAUAUUCCUGUACUUGGUGUUACUGCGAAGGGGGGACGGAGAAGGCUAUGUUAGCCGGGCGACGGUUGUCCCGGUUUAAGCAUGUAGGCUGGUUGUCCAGGCAAAUCCGGAUAAUCAAGGCUGAGGUGUGAUGACGAGGCACUACGGUGCUGAAGUAACAAAUGCCCUGCUUCCAGGAAAAGCCUCUAAGCAUCAGGUAACAUCAAAUCGUACCCCAAACCGACACAGGUGGUCAGGUAGAGAAUACCAAGGCGCUUGAGAGAACUCGGGUGAAGGAACUAGGCAAAAUGGUGCCGUAACUUCGGGAGAAGGCACGCUGGUGUGUAGGUGAAGCCCCUGCGGGUGGAGCUGAGACCAGUCGAAGAUACCAGCUGGCUGCAACUGUUUAUUAAAAACACAGCACUGUGCAAACACGAAAGUGGACGUAUACGGUGUGACGCCUGCCCGGUGCCGGAAGGUUAAUUGAUGGGGUUAUCCGUAAGGAGAAGCUCUUGAUCGAAGCCCCGGUAAACGGCGGCCGUAACUAUAACGGUCCUAAGGUAGCGAAAUUCCUUGUCGGGUAAGUUCCGACCUGCACGAAUGGCGUAAUGAUGGCCAGGCUGUCUCCACCCGAGACUCAGUGAAAUUGAACUCGCUGUGAAGAUGCAGUGUACCCGCGGCAAGACGGAAAGACCCCGUGAACCUUUACUAUAGCUUGACACUGAACAUUGAGCCUUGAUGUGUAGGAUAGGUGGGAGGCUUUGAAGCGUGGACGCCAGUCUGCGUGGAGCCAACCUUGAAAUACCACCCUUUAAUGUUUGAUGUUCUAACGUUGGCCCCUUACCGGGGUUGCGGACAGUGUCUGGUGGGUAGUUUGACUGGGGCGGUCUCCUCCCAAAGCGUAACGGAGGAGCACGAAGGUUAGCUAAUCCUGGUCGGACAUCAGGAGGUUAGUGCAAUGGCAUAAGCUAGCUUGACUGCGAGCGUGACGGCGCGAGCAGGUGCGAAAGCAGGUCAUAGUGAUCCGGUGGUUCUGAAUGGAAGGGCCAUCGCUCAACGGAUAAAAGGUACUCCGGGGAUAACAGGCUGAUACCGCCCAAGAGUUCAUAUCGACGGCGGUGUUUGGCACCUCGAUGUCGGCUCAUCACAUCCUGGGGCUGAAGUAGGUCCCAAGGGUAUGGCUGUUCGCCAUUUAAAGUGGUACGCGAGCUGGGUUUAGAACGUCGUGAGACAGUUCGGUCCCUAUCUGCCGUGGGCGCUGGAGAAUUGAGGGGGGCUGCUCCUAGUACGAGAGGACCGGAGUGGACGCAUCACUGGUGUUCGGGUUGUCAUGCCAAUGGCACUGCCCGGUAGCUAAAUGCGGAAGAGAUAAGUGCUGAAAGCAUCUAAGCACGAAACUUGCCCCGAGAUGAGUUCUCCCUGAGACUUUAAGUCUCCUGAAGGAACGUUAAAGACGAUGACGUUGAUAGGCCGGGUGUGUAAGCGCAGCGAUGCGUUGAGCUAACCGGUACUAAUGAACCGUGAGGCUUAACCUU